rnacentral:lncRNA from 1 species
UUGGAUGGUUGGCCUCUUGGUUACAAGCAUGUACAUUAUGGCUCUCUCCUUGCCUGGAACUGGAUAUGAGAAAUGCUUGAAUUAAGAUCUGUGAAUUAUCUUAUUUUCUUGUCAGAAGGAUGCAGAUUGCCCAUACUUCAUAGCAGAGCAACAGGAGGGACUUAGGGACAAAAAGCUCAAAGGCAAGGAAGACUGAGGAAGCUAAGUUACUGGCCAUAUGUUUAAUAAAUAUAAGCUUAAUGGCAGUGAAUGUAUUAAUGUCAGCGAAGACAAGUCUAUGAAGUUAAACAGGCACAGAGAGGCUAAGAGUCUUGCCAAAGGCCACAGAGGAAGGAAGAGACUAAAUCUGGAACAAACUUUCUAUUCUCCAUUUCCAGAAGAAACCACUAAACCAUGCUUCCUCUUGUCAUGGAAGCUUAAAAUAUUUGGACUGUCUGUGGAUCCAGGGAGGAAUUUCAGAAGAGCCAGGAUUAGUCAAUCAAAUUAAACUCAAUAUCACCCAAAUAAAGUUGGUCAGAUCAAACUACGUUUAAAUAAGAAUUAAAAUGCCAUUUGUCCAUCACCUAAUGGCUCAAUUUGCUCCUGCCUUGGGUGUGCACACCCUGCUCUGGAACAGACCAGAGCUCUAAAGAAGUGACUGGAAGUUGUGAAUGUCAUUGUUAUGAAGCUUCAAAUUUGCUCUCCUCUUUAGGACACAGACAUGGCAUUAGAGAAGGGCAGAAAACUGCACUUGGCUGUGCAUAGAGAACACUAGAGACCUCUUGUGCAAGAGAGGGGACUAGGUUGCGUAGUGUAAUGAGAGAAGCAUGGGUUUUGAGACCGCUACAAUGUCUGUGUCUUCUUGGCCAACAUUUCAGUAAGAGUAGUAAGCAUAUCUCCACAAUAGGGUUAAGAGAACCAGUGUCUUCUGAAAAACACAUGAAAUCAUCGUAACCCUGCUAAGUCUGUGCUUUGCAAAAAUUAAAACUAAAACUAAUUUUCACUAUGA